rnacentral:tRNA from 1 species
UAGGGUGUGGCUUAGUGGUACAGCACUUGCCUAGCAUGCAACAGACCCUGGGUUCAUGCCCAGCAAUAAAC